rnacentral:lncRNA from 1 species
UGCAAUGCAACCGAUGUGACCAAAUGACUAUUGCGACAACAAUUAUAUUGCGGUUAUACCAUGAUUUAGAAACAUGUUAUGUAUUAGUAUUAAAAUGUUACAUAUGAAAGACAUGUAUAAAAAUGGAAAGUCACUUACCCUUCCAAGAUUUAACUAUUGGAGUUGGUGGUGUAGUUGGAGCAACAGGAGUUGGUGGUUUCACAAUUGGUGGUGAUUGAUAAGGUGGUGAUUUCACUAGAGGUGGAGGGGUUGGUGGUUUCACAAUAGGUGGUGAUUGAUACGGUGGUGUUUUCACUAGAGGAGGAGAAGGUGGCUUCACAAUAGGUGGUGAUUGAUAUGGUGGUGGAGUUUUCACUAGAGGUGGAGAAGGUGGCUUCACAAUAGGUGGUGAUUGAUAAGGUGGAGUUUUAACUAGGGGUGGAGAAGGUUGCUUCACAAUAGGUGGUGAUUGAUAUGGUGGUGUUUUCACCAAUGGAGGAGAAGUAGGUGCCUUCACCAGCGAUGGAGGAGUUGGCGGUGCCUUUACCGGAAAAGGAGGUG